ensembl:lncRNA
AUUUAAUAUAAAUAAUGUACAAACUAUACAAAUGUAUAAUUUGCAUUAAUAAUAUAUAAAUAAAUCACACCAGGGUCACCAAAUUAGUGGGAAUUUUUUUUCUUUUGUCCCGACUGUGCCUUUUCCUCCCUGGAUUUGGGACCUGAGCCAGUUGGGCAUCUCCAGAUCCAGGAUUUAUUGCAGUCCUGAGCACCACAAAGGGGAAUUUUUUAUCCCAAUAUGUCCAUGGGAAGCACCAGGAGAGGUUUUAGGCUGGAUAUUGGAAGAAUUCCUCCAUGGAAAGGGCAGGGCUGGAAUCCCCAUUCCCGGAGGGAUUUAAAAUCUUGUGGAUGUGGCACCUGGGGACAGGUCAGAGGUGGCCUUGGGAUUGUUCUGCUUCCCCUUCCCCAUGGAUAUUGGAUACUGGAUAUUGGCCCUGGACAGCCGGACGCUCCCUCGGUGACUGUGACAGUGACAGUGACGGUGUCGGGGCUGUGCGGGCACGGCCUGGCCCUGCUCCUGUCCCCACGCAGCUGCAGCCAGGAGCUCUGUGCUCGGCCAGGAGCCGAUCCCGAGGGGUUGCCCAUGGAAUAGGCUCUUUUCCCGGUGCCUGGGCACAGCGGGAGGCUGGAGUUUGUGCCCUGAUCACGCCCUGCCCCGGAGCCCCCGGCCUCUGCCAUGAAUGAUGCGUCCACCAUGGAUUAUGAACUGCUCUCCCCGUCCCUGGUGGAGCACCCCGCCGGCGCCGCGGGCAUGGACGCCGAGCAGAAAACCGUGUUUGCCUUCGUCAUCUUCCUGCUGGUGUUCCUGGUGAUGCUCAUGGUGCGCUGCUUCCGCAUCCUGCUGGACCCCUACAGCCGCAUGCCCGCCUCCUCCUGGACGGACCACAAGGAGGGCUUGGAGCGGGGCCAGUUCGACUACGCGCUGGUGUGAGGGCGGGGGGCUCGGGGCAGCCCGGGGUGGGGCCGGGACAGCCCCAGGGUGGGCUCAGGGCACCCCAGGGUGGGCUUGGAGCAGCCCCAGGGGGGCUUGGAGCACUCCAGAGUGGCUUGGGGCAGCCCAAGAGUGCCCCCCCCCCCCCCCCCCCCCCCCCCCCCCCCCCCCCCCCCCCCCCCCCCCCCCCCCCCCCCCCCCCCCCCCCCCCCCCCCCCCCCCC